rnacentral:lncRNA from 1 species
UUUUCGUGUCCUGAUACCGCAUAAACGAUCACCUGAUCGCUGGAUCGAUUGGAGACAAGCAACAAUGAUGAGUGGGAUGGUGCGGAAGAGGUAAAGACUACUAUGAGAAGUUCAGAAGUGCUUCAUGUGAAGAGUCCACAAAACAGAAUUCCAUGGCCCUGGAUUAUCAGAGUAAUAUACCCGAGUGUUAGGUGGAGAAGAAGCAUACAGAGAAGGUCAGAAGAAAUAAAUAGAAGUCUCAAGGACAAAAUGACUGCACAAUAAAACAACAAUUAACAUCGCAAGAUAUUGUACAGGCGGACAUCGUGGUAUACACCUUUAAUCCCAGCACUCAGGAGGAAGGAGUAGGCAGAUUUCUGAGUUCGAGGCAAGCCUGGUCUACAAGAGUCCCUGAGCCUGAGCCUGAUGGGAGGAAUUUGAUGGAUCAUUCCUUCAUGGGACUGAGUAUUCUAAGAUCAUUCCCUGUAUGCAAAUAAUAUAGUAUGGGUCCCUGUAAUUGUUCUUACCUAAUACAGGAGGGAGCUUCUCUUGUGAAGGCUGAUACUGAUCUUUUUAGGUAGUUCCUGGUUAAAAGAACCCAAAGUAAUGAAAAAUAUAUUGCUAGUAAUAAUUUCUCUGAAUACUCACAGACAGCUAAUACAGAUCGCCACCAAAUCUUGAUACUAUAAGAAUUUUAAACUUAUAACAAUUCAGUAAGCAUAAAUUCAAUAUCUGUCUUCUGCCUGUUUGCCUGCCUACUUACCAAGGUGUUUCCUGGUCCUCUCAGUCAUAGCCAUCCUGGAGAUAGGACAGCUGGGGAAGGAGUCUGAAGACAGUUUCUCGGUAAUCACUCCGGUUAGUGACCUCACAGCCAAGCAGAUCCAAGCUUUUCAGACAAUCCAACCUUUUUCAACGGCUCCAAGGUGCUGAUAUCGUUCAGGUUAUUUCCAUUUAGGUUCAGAUGUGUGAGGCUUGGAAGUUCUUCUGCUAGUUUGACCAGACCUCCGAAGAUUCUAUUUUCACUGAGCUCAAGCUUUUUCAAUUUAGGUAGCUUCGGGAGGUCUGAAACUGAAAACAAGCCUACACUUAUUAAACUGAGGAACAUUAAGUUCACAAAUUCAUCUGUUAACCCCUCAAUUUUUUCAUCCAUUGCUUUGCAAUUGUCCAAUACAAGUUCUCGAACAGCUGCCGGGGUCCGGUUCUUCAGCUGCAGGUGGAUCCUCCUCUUCAUAUCCAUGUUCCUCUCAUCCCCUGAACUUUCCGUGGUGGGGGCAGAGAGGGGAGAGGCGACCUGGCCUGUGCAGCAAGUGCUGUUGGAGUGAGGCAGCUGGAGGCGGUGGCGGUGUGGUACCCGGGCGGAGUUCGGGCAUGCGGGCAAAUUGGUACCAGCAGAGUGGGGUAUUCCUGUGACAACCUGACCAUGAUUUGGGGAGGACUGUAGAAGGACUUUGGAACUUUGGGCUUGAAGAUCCAUUCAUUGUUAAGAUGUCAACAUCUGUCAGAUGUUGUGUAGGAGAUUGGAAGAUAAUGUUGACAACAGUGCAGAAGAUGGAGGCCUGUCUUGUGAAAUUUCAGGGGGAAAAUUAAAGACUCUUUUCAGGGCCAUUGCUAUUUUGAUUGUGAAGAUUCUAUAGUUCUGAUUAGCUGGGGCUGAAGAAUCAGCUGUGAUUAACAAGCUAUAAGAACUACCAAAGCAAAAACUUUGCAUUACUGGGACUAUUGAUGCUGGAGCUAAGAAAUUAGCAGUGGUUAAGAAGAGACCAGCAUCAUUGAGGUGACAUCUUCUGGGAAGUAUUUUUUGAGAGCACAGAGGUUGUGUUCCAGAGAUAACCAAGGUUGUACCUCGUGCUAUGGUGGGACUUGGAAAUGUAUAAGAGUCACCCAGGUGAUAUUGGUUUUGAAGGCAUGAAGGGAUCACACAGAGCAGCUGAGGCUCGGCAAUGUGAGAGGCCAUGGAAGGCCAUUGGUGAAGGUGCAGCCUCAGUUGCAAUUGAUGGCCCAGGACUGAAGGGGUCAUGCAGUGUUUUGGAGAUUCCAGUACCAUGAGAUGACCACCAAGAGCAGCAGCAGUGGAGUAAAGGGAGCUGGAGCCUAGAAGGCAAGCCAGUAAUGAACAUCCCUCCAUGGCCUCUGCAUCAGCUCCUGCUUUCUGACCUGCUUGAGUUCCAGUCCUGACAUCCUUUAGUGAUUAACAGCAAUGUGGAAAAUGUAAGCUGAAUAAACCCUUUCCUCCCC